rnacentral:RNase_P_RNA from 1 species
UCAGACGGUCGGGCGGCCGCCGGCACCCGCAAGGGUGUGGGAGGAAAGUCCGGGCUCCACGGGAACACGGUGCCGGGUAACACCCGGCGGGGGCGACCCCAGGGACAGUGCCACAGAAAGCAAACCGCCCCUUCGUCUGGAUUUCGAUCCAGGACCAAGGGGUAAGGGUGAAAGGGUGCGGUAAGAGCGCACCGCGAGACCGGUAACGGGAUCGGCACGGUAAACCCCACCGGGAGCAAGACCGAAUAGGGAUGACCGGCUGACUCGAAAGAGGGCAGCAGACGCGUUCCCGCGUCGUCGUCCGGGUAGGUCGCGCGAGGCGGUCGGCAACGACCGUCCCAGAUGAAUGGCCGUCGCCCCGGGCUCGUCCCGGGGGACAGAACCCGGCUUACAGACCGUCUGAACCU